rnacentral:misc_RNA from 1 species
GAUGAAGAAGCAGCGAAAUGCGAUACUUGGUGUGAAUUGCAGAAUCCCGUGAACCAUCGAGUCUUUGAACGCAAGUUGCGCCCGAAGCCACUAGGCCGAGGGCACGCCUGCCUGGGCGUCACACGCCGUUGCCCCCCCAUCUACUCCUUCGGGAUUGCGGGGGGGCGGAUGAUGGCCUCCCGUGCGCCUAGCCGCGCGGUUGGCAUAAAUACCAAGUCCUCGGCGACGCACGCCACGACAAUCGGUGGUUGCGAAACCUCGGUUGCCCGUCGUGUGCGUUCGUCGCGCAUCGAGGGCUCGAAAAAAUGCUCGGCUCCGGCUGGGCUUUCAACGCGACCCCAGGUCAGGCGGGGUUACCCGCUGAAUUUAAGCAUAUCAAUAAGCGGAGGA